CUUAACCGAUCGUCUCCUUCUCUUUCUCCCUUUCUCUCUCAUUUGUUCUCUGCCAGCCCCGAACGACUACCCAUCGAUUGUCGCCGCCGUUCAAGCAUUGGACUAGGAAGAAUAGACAACGUUGAAACUCCAUCCCCGCGAGCCCUUUGUCGUCAUUCUUCCCUGCGAGUAGAAGCCUCCAGGUCCGUACAUCGCCGUCAUGGAUCCAAGGCCAAUUUCUGGCUGCUCUGACAUCGUCUCAGGUGAAGGGUAGUAUGGAUGAACUAAUGGUAUCAAGACGAACAAAGCCCAACCAAGGAUCAAGCUUUCAAGUGAUAGGAGGAGACGAAAUGAGCUCACCGGCGUCCAUGGGUUUUCGAGGCUGUUUGACCUUGAUUCGCCAUCCACGAUGAAUUGAGAGCCUCCCCACCACGAUGAAUGACGUCCAUGGAAAGAGCACUCGUGCCCCCAUUUAUCUCUUUGAGAUAUAUAUAUAUAAUCAUUUUAGAGAAAAUUGAUAACUUUCUGUGUGUGUGUUUUUUUUAUUAAUGGUUUGUUUUGGUUUUGUGUUGCAGUUCCACCAGUACCAGGUUGUGGGAAGGGCUCUCCCUACCGUGUCUGAUGAGCAUCCUAAGAUUUACCAGAUGAAGCUUUGGGCCACCAAUGAGGUCCGCGCCAAGUCCAAGUUCUGGUAUUUUCUGAGGAAGUUGAAGAAGGUCAAGAAGAGCGAUGGUCAGGUUCUUGCUAUUAAUGAUGUACUGUAUUUACUCUUUCUGUGCUUUAAAUGCUAAUGAUUUAUGAAUAAAGAGUUUAUUGCUCUCAAUGUUAAGUUGCAAUGCUUUCCAGGUAGCAGUUGGGGUCUGCUUUUCAUUUUGGCUGAAUACGAGAAGUGUCUCGUUACCCUAUGGCAUGUAUACUUUCUUGUAACUAAUCUGGUCAACAUUUUUCUGAUGGUAACUCACAUAUCUAUUCUUGGGAAGACAAACUUAUAAAAUAAAAAAUAAAUUUCCAUUAAAUUCAAUCAUUCAAGACUAGGAUAAACAAGUAGGCACAUAGUAAGGAGAAUAGAGUUUUAAAGGUUCAGUUAAAUGAAUUGAGAAUAUACAAAUGAAGUAUUGGAUUUCUUUGGUGAGUCACACAAUUAUGUUUGAUUAGUUAUUGGAAGAAUAUGUCUUUUACUGGGAAUAUAGCAUAUAGGGAUCGUUAUUAGUGACUUUUUUCUCCCUCUAGAAAUUUUCAAUGUUAUCUGUUAUCUGAUUUAUGUUAUGUUUUUUGAUGCAGGAAAAUGUGGGUUACCCUUCCUGCGCCCUUGGGUCUUAUUCAACUGGGAAAAUGGUAUCUAUUGUUGACCUCAUUUUGUCUUGUUUCUAUGGGAAACAGAGUUAAUUUAACAGAUGGUCUUGACGGGCUGGCUAGGGGGACUGCUGCCUUGGCAUUUGUUGGAAUGUCAAUUGCAGUGCUUCCAAUAUGUCCUGGUUAGUAUGAAUCUUCUUGAAAUUAGAAUAUGAUGUCUGAAUAUUAAGAAUUAACAGUUUGAUAAUUUUCUAUUUUACUUGUUUCUUGGUUUGAGCCUAUAAUAAGUAUUUUUUAUUUUGUAUAGAUGUGAUCUCAAUCAUUAGGCCGGAAGUAAAUGAGGGUUUGAAUAAGUAUCCAUAUGUUAAAAAGCUAUGUUCAACAACAGUUGCUAACACUUGGAAACUAUUCAUAAUUAUGUGAUAAUUUAGCUAUGUUUGUCGUG